rnacentral:rRNA from 1 species
CCAACAGGGAUUGCCCUAGUAACGGCGAGUGAAGCGGCAACAGCUCAAAUUUGAAAUCUGGCCCCAGGCCCGAGUUGUACUUUGCAGAGGAUGCUUCGGGCGCGGCGCCUUCCCAAGUCCCCUGGAACGGGGCGCCUUGGAGGGUGAGAGCCCCGUGCGGUCGGCCGCCAAGCCCGUGUGAAGCUCCUUCGACGAGUCGAGUAGUUUGGGAAUGCUGCUCUAAAUGGGAGGUAGACCCCUUCUAAAGCUAAAUACCGGCCAGAGACCGAUAGCGCACAAGUAGAGUGAUCGAAAGAUGAAAAGCACUUUGAAAAGAGGGUUAAACAGCACGUGAAAUUGUUGAAGGGGAAGCGCUUGUGACCAGACUUGCGCCGGGGCGAUCAUCGGGCGUUCUCGCCCGUGCACUCGCCCCGGCGCAGGCCAGCGUCGGUUCGGACGGGGGGAGAAAGGCGCCGGGAACGUAGCUCCCUCGGGAGUGUUAUAGCCCGGCGCGCCAUGCCCCCGACCGGACCGAGGUACGCGCCCUGCAAGGACGCUGGCGUAAUGGUCACCAGCGGCCCGUCUUGAAACACGGACCAAGGAGUCGAGGUUCUGCGCGAGUGUCUGGGUGCCAAACCCGCACGCGUAAUGAAAGUGAACGCAGGUGAGAGCUUCGGCGCAUCACCGACCGAUCCUGAUGUCUUCGGAUGGAUUUGAGUAGGAGCGUUGGGCCUCGGACCCGAAAGAUGGUGAACUAUGCUUGGAUAGGGUGAAGCCAGAGGAAACUCUGGUGGAGGCUCGCAGCGGUUCUGACGUGCAAAUCGAUCGUCAAAUCUGAGCAUGGGGGCGAAAGGUAGGCACUAUUCUCUCUCCCAAGCCGGCGAAUCAUAUACUAACCAAUCUUGCAGACUAAUCGAACCAUCUAGUAGCUGGUUACCGCCGAAGUCCCCCUCAGGAUA